GAAUAUUAUACACUAAUGAUAUUU
rnacentral:snRNA from 1 species